CAUGUGGUUUAAUUCGAUGCAACGCGAAGAACUUACCAGGUCUUGACAUCCACGAAUCCUUCUGAAAGGAAGGAGUGCCUUCGGGAGCGUUGAGACAGGUGGUGCAUGGUUGUCGUCAGCUCGUGUCGUGAGAUGUUGGGUUAAGUCCCGCAACGAGCGCAACCCUUUGCUAUUAGUUGCUAACAGGUUAAGCUGAGCACUCUAAUGGGACUGCCGGUGACAAGCCGGAGGAAGGUGGGGAUGACGUCAAAUCAUCAUGCCCUUUAUGACCUGGGCUACACACGUGCUACAAUGGAUGGUACAGAGAGCAGCGAGGCAGCGAUGUGGAGCGAAUCUCAAAAAGCCAUUCUCAGUUCGGAUUGAAGUCUGCAACUCGACUUCAUGAAGUUGGAAUCGCUAGUAAUCGCGGAUCAGCAUGCCGCGGUGAAUACGUUCCCGGGCCUU
rnacentral:rRNA from 1 species